rnacentral:rRNA from 1 species
AAGGUUAAGCCUCACGGUUCAUUAGUACCGGUUAGCUCAACGCAUCGCUGCGCUUACACACCCGGCCUAUCAACGUCGUCGUCUUCAACGUUCCUUCAGGACCCUUAAAGGGUCAGGGAGAACUCAUCUCGGGGCAAGUUUCGUGCUUAGAUGCUUUCAGCACUUAUCUCUUCCGCAUUUAGCUACCGGGCAGUGCCAUUGGCAUGACAACCCGAACACCAGUGAUGCGUCCACUCCGGUCCUCUCGUACUAGGAGCAGCCCCCCUCAGUUCUCCAGCGCCCACGGCAGAUAGGGACCGAACUGUCUCACGACGUUCUAAACCCAGCUCGCGUACCACUUUAAAUGGCGAACAGCCAUACCCUUGGGACCUACUUCAGCCCCAGGAUGUGAUGAGCCGACAUCGAGGUGCCAAACACCGCCGUCGAUAUGAACUCUUGGGCGGUAUCAGCCUGUUAUCCCCGGAGUACCUUUUAUCCGUUGAGCGAUGGCCCUUCCAUUCAGAACCACCGGAUCACUAUGACCUGCUUUCGCACCUGCUCGCGCCGUCACGCUCGCAGUCAAGCUGGCUUAUGCCAUUGCACUAACCUCCUGAUGUCCGACCAGGAUUAGCCAACCUUCGUGCUCCUCCGUUACUCUUUAGGAGGAGACCGCCCCAGUCAAACUACCCACCAGACACUGUCCGCAACCCGGAUCACGGGUCCACGUUAGAACAUCAAACAUUAAAGGGUGGUAUUUCAAGGUCGGCUCCAUGCAGACUGGCGUCCACACUUCAAAGCCUCCCACCUAUCCUACACAUCAAGGCUCAAUGUUCAGUGUCAAGCUAUAGUAAAGGUUCACGGGGUCUUUCCGUCUUGCCGCGGGUACACUGCAUCUUCACAGCGAGUUCAAUUUCACUGAGUCUCGGGUGGAGACAGCCUGGCCAUCAUUACGCCAUUCGUGCAGGUCGGAACUUACCCGACAAGGAAUUUCGCUACCUUAGGACCGUUAUAGUUACGGCCGCCGUUUACCGGGGCUUCGAUCAAGAGCUUCGCUUGCGCUAACCCCAUCAAUUAACCUUCCGGCACCGGGCAGGCGUCACACCGUAUACGUCCACUUUCGUGUUUGCACAGUGCUGUGUUUUUAAUAAACAGUUGCAGCCAGCUGGUAUCUUCGACUGAUUUCAGCUCCACGAGCAAGUCGCUUCACCUACGUAUCAGCGUGCCUUCUCCCGAAGUUACGGCACCAUUUUGCCUAGUUCCUUCACCCGAGUUCUCUCAAGCGCCUUGGUAUUCUCUACCUGACCACCUGUGUCGGUUUGGGGUACGAUUUGAUGUUACCUGAUGCUUAGAGGCUUUUCCUGGAAGCAGGGCAUUUGUUGCUUCAGCACCGUAGUGCCUCGUCAUCACGCCUCGGCCUUGAUUUUCCGGAUUUGCCUGGAAAACCAGCCUACACGCUUAAACCGGGACAACCGUCGCCCGGCCAACAUAGCCUUCUCCGUCCCCCCUUCGCAGUAACACCAAGUACAGGAAUAUUAACCUGUUUCCCAUCGACUACGCCUUUCGGCCUCGCCUUAGGGGUCGACUCACCCUGCCCCGAUUAACGUUGGACAGGAACCCUUGGUCUUCCGGCGAGCGGGCUUUUCACCCGCUUUAUCGUUACUUAUGUCAGCAUUCGCACUUCUGAUACCUCCAGCAUACCUCACAGCACACCUUCACAGGCUUACAGAACGCUCCCCUACCCAACAACGCAUAAGCGUCGCUGCCGCAGCUUCGGUGCAUGGUUUAGCCCCGUUACAUCUUCCGCGCAGGCCGACUCGACCAGUGAGCUAUUACGCUUUCUUUAAAUGAUGGCUGCUUCUAAGCCAACAUCCUGGCUGUCUGGGCCUUCCCACAUCGUUUCCCACUUUAACCAUGACUUUGGGACCUUAGCUGGCGGUCUGGGUUAUUUCCCUCUUCACGACGGACGUUAGCACCCGCCGUGUGUCUCCCGUGAUAACAUUCUCCGGUAUUCGCAGUUUGCAUCGGGUUGGUAAGUCGGGAUGACCCCCUUGCCGAAACAGUGCUCUACCCCCGGAGAUGAAUUCACGAGGCGCUACCUAAAUAGCUUUCGGGGAGAACCAGCUAUCUCCCGGUUUGAUUGGCCUUUCACCCCCAGCCACAAGUCAUCCGCUAAUUUUUCAACAUUAGUCGGUUCGGUCCUCCAGUUAGUGUUACCCAACCUUCAACCUGCCCAUGGCUAGAUCACCGGGUUUCGGGUCUAUACCCUGCAACUUAACGCCCAGUUAAGACUCGGUUUCCCUUCGGCUCCCCUAUUCGGUUAACCUUGCUACAGAAUAUAAGUCGCUGACCCAUUAUACAAAAGGUACGCAGUCACACGCCUAAGCGUGCUCCCACUGCUUGUACGUACACGGUUUCAGGUUCUUUUUCACUCCCCUCGCCGGGGUUCUUUUCGCCUUUCCCUCACGGUACUGGUUCACUAUCGGUCAGUCAGGAGUAUUUAGCCUUGGAGGAUGGUCCCCCCAUAUUCAGACAGGAUACCACGUGUCCCGCCCUACUCAUCGAGCUCACAGUAUGUGCAUUUUUGUGUACGGGGCUGUCACCCUGUAUCGCACGCCUUUCCAGACGCUUCCACUAACACACACACUGAUUCAGGCUCUGGGCUGCUCCCCGUUCGCUCGCCGCUACUGGGGGAAUCUCGGUUGAUUUCUUUUCCUCGGGGUACUUAGAUGUUUCAGUUCCCCCGGUUCGCCUCAUUAACCUAUGGAUUCAGUUAAUGAUAGUGUGACGAAUCACACUGGGUUUCCCCAUUCGGAAAUCGCCGGUUAUAACGGUUCAUAUCACCUUACCGACGCUUAUCGCAGAUUUAGCACGUCCUUCAUCGCCUCUGACUGCCAGGGCAUCCACCGUGUACGCUUAGUCGCUUAA